UCUGGCGGCCAUAGCGAACAGGAACCACCCGACUCCAUUCCGAACUCGGAAGUGAAACUGUUCAGCGCCGAUGAUAGUGUGGGGCUUCCCCAUGUGAAAGUAGGUCACUGCCAGAA
rnacentral:rRNA from 1 species